CAGAUUGAGGAGCUAUCAUCCUUCCCCCACGGGAGUCCUCCUUCCAUUUCAAAAUCUCUCUGUAACCGCCUCCGCUUCGUCGGCGAUGGCCAUCCGAUCUCCUCUCUUCUCCCCUCUCUCUCUCUCGACGUCCAACCAAACCCUAACUCCUCCUCCUCCUCCUCCUUCUCUCUUGCGCCGACGCCGUUCUCCGGCGAGACCGAUCGCGUCCGGAUCCCUCCUCUCUGUUCUUCUCUCUUCGCUUCCCCGAGCCCGAACGGCAGCCGCUCUUCAACGUCCCUCCGGCGAGCGCGGACCGUCCGCGACCGAUGAUGAAGGAGGAGGUGUGGCGACGAGGAAGCGAAGGGAGCCUGAAUCGGAGCUCUUCCGCCUCGGGCGCUCUUGCUUUUGCCGGAUCUGGCCGGAGGUCGCGAUUUGAAACCGAUGCGAUCGCAGCGUGUUCUAGUCGCUUCCGACCGAGCAGUGGAGGUAAUGAUCCAAAUGGUACGGGAUUAUAGUGGUGGUUAUGAGCCUUACCGUUCGGGGCCUGAUCAGAAUGCGGGGGUUGCUGAGUAUCGUGAGGUUUGUGGAAGUAUUCGAGACGGCUACGGUCGGACUGUUAGCGGGAGUGAUGUUUUAUGCUAUGGAGGAUACCGAGGAAUGCAGUAACUAUGGGGAGUGUGGAAAUGGUGCAGAUUAUUCAGAUUAUCCACUGUGGCAUCGGCUGGGGUGGUGCAGGAGACGAGUGAGAGUGCAGUGAGAGUUUCUGGCGAGAGAGUAGGAAUGAGCUUCCAGCGAAAAUAGUGGAGGUGAAGUGGGAGGAGUUGAUAAAAAGUCGACCUAGGGAUGAUCGACUGAAUUGACUGAGGUAGCUUUUGGGCUUUCUUGUCAGGUAUGAAGACCGAACUCUUGAUUAUCAUUUGCACUAUAUCGCAGUUUUUGGUGAAAUUUUAUAUGAUGUCACGUUUGUGCUUGCAACUGUAAAUUGAACUUUUAGUUGGAGAACCUGUGGGCCCAUAUGUUUUACAAUAGUAUCUUCAGGUUCAAGCUAGGCAGAUUGCUGAUCCGAUAACCUUGUGUAGUUACUUGGGAAACACAGCUUGUUUGAAACAUUCUAGAAAGGAGUAAGGCUGAGUUUCUUCCUUUGUUCAUAUAUAUUGUGAGAAAUUUAGGUGAAGCCUCUGUUCCUGGCAGACAUUGGUGCAACUGCUUAAUGAUAACCACUGACUAAGACAUUGGUGUUUCUUUUGUUGGAAAAGAGAAACUAACCAAUUGCAGUAUCAGUACAGCAUUAAUUCUGCUGGCGACCCUUCUGGUUGGAGUUUUAUUACCAAUGAUUAGUGUACUGCAGACAAGAAGUGUAUGAGUUAUUUAUCUUUCCUCCAGAUAUCUUGCAUGUAGUCCAUGCUGCUAUAGUUUCUGGUAGCAUGUAAUCUGCUCUCUUACAUCUGCACAUCAUCAUCAAUGACCAUUGGGCCAUAUUUCUCUAAGCAGGGUCUCCAACAUGGAUCAAGUUACUCCAUUUCGUUUGACUGAACUAUAACUUUUAUAUAUUUGAUAUUCAGUAUUUUUCUUGGAAUAUAUGGCACAUCUUGAGCAUAUCUUCUCAUGGAUGCCUCUACACAGGUCCAAACUGUCCCAAACAAGUUUCAUUCAUAUUGUAUUUUGUCGUUGUGUCCUCAGAUGGAGUCACGCCAACUCUUUUAGAAAUACACUGAAUUCUAAUCAUACUUUUUCCCCGAUUAUCUACACAUCCAUUAGAGCAUUUUCAUUUCUGCCAAACUUAUUUUUCACUAUUGUUCCCAUAUCAGUAUUAAACUGCUUUUUUCUUCCGCUCAGUAAAAAGACAGUGUUGUCUGCGGGAAGAUAUCAGUUAUUUAUCUUCAGUUAUAUUUUUUAACUGUACAAGAUACUAUAUAGGCUUCUCUACUGCAUUUAUUAUUCUUGUAUGAUUGUUCUCCUCUUUUUGGGAAAUGGUCACAGGAUAGCAAAAAUGAUCUCUUUGGAUACCGUCGGUCGAAUUUUAACAUUUUCCUUUACUGAAUCUGCCUUUAAUGUGUUCUGUCAUUGAACAAGUCGAAUUCUGAAGUUUCUCUUCACAUUCAACAAUCUUACUUUUGCAUCUAUUUGUCAUGAGUUUCAUUUACUGGCACAGUAUCAUCUAGGAAAAGCAUAUGAUGAGGACUAUUAUUUUGCAUAUUCUAGGUGAACUUUUUCUUUUCCAAGCUAAAGGGUACAGAUGAUGGAAAAAAGUAAUCAUCAAUGUAAGGUUAUUGCUAUUGGGAAAUGCUUUGUUCCUCUCAGUGUACUGAUUGAAGUCACCACUAUUAUAUUAUCCGUACCCUUUAUUGCUUGUAUGGAAGCAAAAAAAAGAAAAAGAAAAAAAUUCUUCUCAAUCUGAAAACUUUUGUAGGAUCCAUUUCCUUGGCCUUUUCCUGAUUUACGAAAAUUUUGAGCAAAUCCUAUCUUCUUCUUUUUCUUUUUCUUUUUUCUUUCUAUUGAUCCAGAGAGAGUCUAAAAACUGAGUCUAAGGGCCAUUUGGUAAGUGUCCUGGUUCUGGGGAACUAGCUGCAGAAAAAGGUUGUCAUAAUAGUUUGUGCGUUUUGUCUUUCAUUCUGAGUUAUGAUUGUAACUUGAAAUGUCAUAAAAUAAUCUCGUGACUUAUCUGCCUCAUACUUCUUUCAUCAUGGCAUGCCUCCAAAUAAAAAAUAGUCUUUUUCAUUUUGACUAAUUUGUAUUUAAGGAUGCAACUGUACAACUGUUUGACCUAGAGCUACCAAAAUCUACUAGGUCUUUGGUUUGAUUACUAUUUUGCUCCUCCCCUGCCCAUCUUGCAAAUCAAAAGAGGAGGUGUGUCCAGUAGAGUUACAAUGUCUUGGUUAUUUAAGGCACAUAUCAAUGUUUUGAGAACCUGCAUGGUUCAACUAGGUACUGGAAGCUGGUCCAGUUCAGUCUUUUUACGUAAAAAGUCUAGCUCAACAACCAAAGUUGACGUGGUUCUACUGGGUAAACUAGCAAAUAGGUCAACCUAGACUUUUGAAAAAACAAAUAGGUUCUUGCUAGGCAGGGAUUUGAGCCCCUGACCUUGAGUGACCUCCUGAUGCACAUCAGGGAAGCUCUCUUCCUAUCUAAAUAUUGUCAAAGAAGCUAUCGUUGGGGGAAAAGGAAAAAAUUAACUUGGUGUUGAGGGGACUCGAGUCCUGAGCCUUGACCUCAAUCAGCUGUGAUAUCUGUACUGUAUCACCCUAAACACUUUCUUCAAACCAGCUGUCGAAACUUUGAAACAGUUAAAUUUGUCACCACCAGCUUUGUUGUUUCUAACACCUGUUUUUCUUACCAACACUAGUGUAUAUUACAGUAGCCUUCUACUGUCAAAUACACAUCAUUUUGCGCAUGUGAGUCAAGUAGGGCAACUGGAGAUAGAUAUGCUGCUGGUUCAAAUCAAAUAGACACAUCAUUUUGCACAUGAGUCAACUUGGGCAACUGAAGGAUAGAUAUGCUGCUAAUUUAAAUCAUAUAGUCGUUAAUUCAACUUUUGCAGUGCCUUUGCAUUGUCUAAUUUUCAACUGCUCGCGUUGUCAACUCUGUUGUGGAGGUGUUAAGAUUAAUGGACAAUAACUAGUUCAACUGGCAAUGCGAACCAUAUUUUAUAGUUAUUUCGUACCUGGUAUAAUGCAUCAUUAAAAUUUUCUGAAGAAGAAUAAAGGAAAUUAGUUUAGCUUAAAUUGUUAAUCCUCUUAGCAGAUGGUUAGAAGUUUUGUCAAGCAUUACAUUCCCUGCAUCACUGGUGUUUCAUGCUGCUGCUGUUAUACGCAUCAAAAUCUUUUGGAAACUGGUCCAUGGUAAGAUGAUAUUCACAUCACAUCCCUUGGGUUUUCAGAAAGUCAUACCUAAGUCAUACCUAUGAAUUCUGCUGAAUAUCCUGAAGCCCUUUCAUAGCAGAUAUAUUUCUUUUUUAAUGCUAAUUUCUUUUUGCACAUAAAAUUUUUAGCCUGCUGCAGCAAAGGCUUUCCCUUUUAAACAGAAGGAGAUGGAGCAUGCAGGAUGUCGUACAAGAGGCUUCCUACAAAGGCUCAAAUACUAGCAAAGCGUGGAUGGUGAUAUGCAAGUGGUGCCGUGAUAGGAGAGGAUGCCUUAAAACAACGGUGGAAGAUGAACUCGAUGUGAAGAAAAAUUAUUGGUGGGGCAGGACCACUAGUAGGUCAUAACAACCCCGGUAGCUCAUGGAAGCAGACAUUACUGCUGACAUUGUUGGUAAAACAGAGAGAAACAGGAACGGAAAGGAGGCAAAAAGGGUUCAGCAGUUAGCACGGGAUCUAAGGACUGUUGAGCGAUUUGUCCAUGGCCUUGUCGUAGAUUUUUUGUGGGCUGGUAGAUGUGGUGCCUGUGACCAUAUUCCAAGUGUUUCGGAGGUGAUGUCACUAGGUGCCAGAAAGACCGACUUUCCCUGGCUUGCAUGUGACAUGGUACUGAAUAAAUCUAACAUAGUAUGAGAAUGUAUGUAUUAGGUUUUGGGUGA